rnacentral:rRNA from 1 species
GAUGAACGCUGGCGGCGUGCCUAAUACAUGCAAGUCGGGCGAACGGACGAGAAGCUUGCUUCUCUGAUGUUAGCGGCGGACGGGUGAGUAACACGUGGAUAACCUACCUAUAAGACUGGGAUAACUUCGGGAAACCGGAGCUAAUACCGGAUAAUAUUUUGAACCGCAUGGUUCAAUAGUGAAAGACGGUCUUGCUGUCACUUAUAGAUGGAUCCGCGCUGCAUUAGCUAGUUGGUAAGGUAACGGCUUACCAAGGCAACGAUGCAUAGCCGACCUGAGAGGGUGAUCGGCCACACUGGAACUGAGACACGGUCCAGACUCCUACGGGAGGCAGCAGUAGGGAAUCUUCCGCAAUGGGCGAAAGCCUGACGGAGCAACGCCGCGUGAGUGAUGAAGGUCUUCGGAUCGUAAAACUCUGUUAUUAGGGAAGAACAUAUGUGUAAGUAACUGUGCACGUCUUGACGGUACCUAAUCAGAAAGCCACGGCUAACUACGUG